rnacentral:rRNA from 1 species
AUGGAGGACACGGCGGCGACGCUGGCAACGGAGCUGGACCGGCUGCUGGCCAUGGCGAGGGAGCUGGAGGCGCGCGUCGACGGCGCCCCGGGCGCCGCGAGGGAGCUCUGCGCCGCGCUGGCCGAGUCCGUCGACCGGGCCAUGCGCCUCGCCGGGAGCUGCCCGCGCGGCGGCGGCGGCGAGGGCAAUGCCGGCAACGUCAGGGCGAGCGUGAGCGGGCAGGUCAGGGGCGGCAGGAAGGCGGGGGCGAACAAGGUGCGGACGCAGGUGCGGGUGGCGUCGGUGACGGACGCGGGGCCGCUCAACGACGGGCUCAGCUGGCGCAAGUACGGCCAGAAGGACAUCCUGGGCGCCGCGUAUCCCAGGGCAUACUUCCGGUGCACGCACCGGCACUCGCAGGGCUGCCAGGCCACCAAGCAGGUGCAGCGCGCCCACGCCGACCCGCUCCUCUUCGACGUCGUGUACCUCGGCGCGCACACCUGCGCCCAGGCCACCGCGAUCCUGGCCGGCCCGGAGCAGCAGCCUCCUGCUGCCUUCGCCCUGGAGCACCAGCAGCAGGAGACUUCACCAGAGGAAGGGAUUCAGUGGCCGGUAGAGCCCGUGACGCCGCCCCCCUUCCCCUCCUCGCCGGCCAGCUGCUACACGCCGGGGAGCCCCUGGUGCCAGCUUGCCGGCAGCUACGGCUACGCUGCCGGCGGGGAUGACACGGAGUACGACGCUGAGUUCGUCGAGAUGUUCUUGAAUCUGUCCGAGUUUCAGAACAUGUAG